rnacentral:lncRNA from 1 species
AAAAAUGUACCGGCGUGGGGAAUCGAAGGUGGUGCCGUGAUAAGUUCGUUCCGCGCUUGUAUAUUUGCGGUGUUUAUUGAUAUUAUGUGUGCCAAUCAUCGUUGUCAGUCGUCGACUGGAAGUGUAUCGCGUGUGGGAUGGAAUGGGCGGCCAAAGGUGUGUCAAGAUUUUGUGUUGGUGUUCUGUGGUGUGUCGUCGUAGCCUCAACGGGCUCGUCGCUUUGUCUGCGCGCUCAGCGCUGCGUGAUCGGCGUGCUUUCCACGUUUCUUGAUUACUCACGGUUAUUGCGUGGUUCAAUCGAGUGCAUCUACUCAGACAGUCCACCGCCCAGUGCCUUGUCUGACGACGACGGCGACUGUAAAGCACAAGCGUGCGCCUCAGCGGAUGCCUAGGUAAGGCAGCCCGGGUGGCGUGUUCACACAGCAGUGAUGAUGUACGAGAAAAGUUGUCUGAUAGGCAAGUAUGGAUUCUGCUACAGAAUGGCCCACGAACCCAACUUCCGAGCGGCACGCCUACCGGCCGAACAUCGGAGUGACCCGCCUGUGCGCAGCUUGAUCUGUCUACCACGCGUCGGCCUUGGUCAUCAUCUCACCGGCCUCGCCUUUCAUCGCUACCACCUGGAAAGCCGGCGUGGCCGACGGAGCAUAGACGACUGACUGUUCAAGGAACUGAAGCAGUGGACAGCUUGCU